GAUGAACGCUGGCGGCGUGCCUAAUACAUGCAGGUCGAGCGAACGGACGAGAAGCUUGCUUCUCUGAUGUUAGCGGCGGACGGGUGAGUAACACGUGGAUAACCUACCUAUAAGACUGGGAUAACUUCGGGAAACCGGAGCUAAUACCGGAUAAUAUUUUGAACCGCAUGGUUCAAAAGUGAAAGACGGUCUUGCUGUCACUUAUAGAUGGAUCCGCGCUGCAUUAGCUAGUUGGUAAGGUAACGGCUUACCAAGGCAACGAUGAAUAGCCGACCUGAGAGGGUGAUCGGCCACACUGGAACUGAGACACGGUCCAGACUCCUACGGGAGGCAGCAGUAGGGAAUCUUCCGCAAUGGGCGAAAGCCUGACGGAGCAACGCCGCGUGAGUGAUGAAGGUCUUCGGAUCGUAAAACUCUGUUAUUAGGGAAGAACAUAUGUGUAAGUAACUGUGCACAUCUUGACGGUACCUAACCAGAAAGCCACGGCUAACUACGUG
rnacentral:rRNA from 1 species